rnacentral:rRNA from 1 species
CACGUAGGGGGCAAGCGUUGUCCGGAAUCAUUGGGCGUAAAGAGCUCGUAGGCGGCUCAGUAAGUCGGGUGUGAAACCUCCAGGCUCAACCUGGAGACGCCCACCCGAUACUGCUGUGGCUAGAGUCCAGUAGGGGAGUGUGGAAUUCCCGGUGUAGCGGUGAAAUGCGCAGAUAUCGGGAGGAACACCAGCGGCGAAGGCGGCACUCUGGGCUGGUACUGACG